UUCUGCCCUUCACUUGUGCAGCUCUCAUCUUUCGCUAAGUGAAUGCUGAAGAUUCGUUAAAGGACAUUGACUCAAAGUGGUCCCAAAUGAUUACCCGGGGCACCCCCAGGUCUCGUUAAGGCUCUGAGGAGGCCAUCAGGUGGGGCUCCAGUGAGAAAAGGUGUAAGCUGAAGCUCUCCUGAGUUCUCUCUUGAGGGCUAAGAGGGUGAGGAGCAAAGGCACGCCACUGUUAGAUAAAAACAAAGCAAGAAGAUGGAGCCAAGAGCACAGGGCCCAAGGGAGAGAAGAUGAUGGCUUAGACCAGUGGGAGCUGUGGAGAUGCUGAGAAGCAACUGGAUUCAAGAUAAGUUUUGGAAGCAUGCGUACAAGAUUUGCUGUUUUCUGGCUCCUAUAAUUUAUGAUUUUGCGCUGGGGAAGCAGAAAGACCGAACGUUCCAGUCUGACGUGGGGAAGCACUAAGGGCCUCCUUCUGUUCUGAUGGAGAAACCAUUUUCCCGUGAAGCACGUGCAGGACUUCACCUCCUUCCUGCUGGGUCCACAUGCAGUGUUGGGAACACCACACAACUCAGAGGGUCCACGGACCUGCAGCAUCGCCAUCACUGUGGAGCUUGUCAGAAAUGCAGAAGCCAGGCCACAGCCCCAGAUCCACGAACCAGAAUCUGCAUUUUAACACGUGUGAACUCCUAACCACAAGCACCUCUUGGCCCAUGAGGGCCUUCAGCUUUCUGCUGGUUUGACCAUCAAGACAUAUCGAAGGAAGCAGAUCUUGGACCGAGUACUCACUGACCCCUUGCUUCAGGGAAGGCAUCCAAGGGUAUCUCUCUGGCAAGGGAAACCGGUAAAGUAACUGCAGUUCAGCUCUGCAAGGAAUAGUAAACAUUUAACACAGAAGCGGAGCAACCCUGUCGCUGCCAGCUAUUUAUCAGGAUGACAAUGCUGGCGUCUGGAAUGGAGCCCCAGCCCUGCCCUACCACGAGGAGAUAGAGGAGUGCUAAUGCAGGAAGGUCAGGCUGAGGGCAUUGGACACCUGCCAGAGGGAGGCAGGUGCCGGAGGGCUCCAGGAAGAAUCUCUAGGAACCCCAGCAGUGUCAAUGAGGAAGUGGCCAGUCACAGGUACCAGAAAUCUCCUGCCAACUCAAGGCUCACAGGGACAUAUGCCACUGUGAAGAGCCAGUGUAUUUCUGGGGCUCCUCACCUCUUGGUAUCCUUGGAUUUUG
rnacentral:lncRNA from 1 species